GACCCAGUGGUGUAACGGUAACACACCGGCUGUUAUUGGGGAUGCGUCAACAAUUAUACUGGAGCUACCUGUUUGACUCGGGGCUGGGUCA